GAUGAACGCUGACAGAAUGCUUAGCACAUGCAAGUCGAUUGGGAAGUGGUGCUUGCACCAUGGCAACCAUGGCGGACGGGUGAGUAACGCGUAAGGGACUUACCUGCAGGACUGGGAUAACGGGGGGAAACUCCUGACAAGACCGGAUAAUGUCAUGGAGCUGCAUGGCUUUAUGAUGAAAGGAGACGCCUGCGGAGAGCCUUGCGUCCUAUUAGCUAGUUGGUGAGGUAAUGGCUCACCAAGGCGAAGAUAGGUAGCCGGCCUGAGAGGGUGGACGGCCACAAGGGGACUGAGAUACGGCCCUUACUCCUACGGGAGGCAGCAGUGGGGAAUAUUGGACAAUGGGGGCAACCCUGAUCCAGCAAUUCUGUGUGCACGAAGAAGGUUUUCGGAUUGUAAAGUGCUUUCAGCAGGGAAGAAGUAAGUGACGGUACCUGCAGAAGAAGCGACGGCUAAAUACGUG
rnacentral:rRNA from 1 species